rnacentral:rRNA from 1 species
UCCUACGGGACGCAGCAGUGGGGAAUAUUGCAUAAUGGGGGAAACCCUGAUGCAGCAACGCCGCGUGAAGGAAGACGGUUUUCGGAUUGUAAACUUCUGUUCUUAGUGAAGAAUAAUGACGGUAGCUAAGGAGCAAGCCACGGCUAACUACGUGCCAGCAGCCGCGGUAAUACGUAGGUGGCAAGCGUUGUCCGGAAUUACUGGGUGUAAAGGGAGCGCAGGCGGGAAGCCAAGUCAGCUGUGAAAACUACGGGCUUAACUUGUAGACUGCAGUUGACACUGGUUUUCUUGAGUGAAGUAGGGGU